GAAGCUCCCAUGGAUUGA
rnacentral:snRNA from 1 species